rnacentral:tRNA from 1 species
GCGCCUGUAGCUCAAUGGAUAGAGCACAUCGCUUCGGACGAUGGGGUUGGGGGUUCGACUCCCUUCAGGCGCG